GUAGGAUUAAGAUUCUCACCAUUACCAUUAUCAAGACUAGGUUCGGAGCAAGGUUGGUGUAGUGGUGUAGAAACGGUAACCUUAUUCUUGCCUUUUCAAGUAUAGGUCCUCAACUCAGUCUCAGUCUCAGUCUCAUUCUGUUUAGUAUACUGUAACUCCCCCUGUGUAUAAUUAUCAGAAAACAACAACAGGAACAGGAAAAGUAACAGGAAAAGAAAUAUAGCU
rnacentral:lncRNA from 1 species